UUGGAGGGCAAGUCUGGUGCCAGCAGCCGCGGUAAUUCCAGCUCCAAUAGCGUAUAUUAAAGUUGUUGCAGUUAAAAAGCUCGUAGUUGAAUUUCGGGAUCAAUAUGUCGGUCGUGCCAUCGGUACGUACUGGUAUCAUUGGUCUCUCCUUUCUGACGAACCAUGAUGUCAUUAAUUUGGUGUUAUGGGGAGUUAGGACUGUUACUUUGAAAAAAUUAGAGUGUUUAAAGCAGGCAUUAGCUUGAAUACAUUAGCAUGGAAUAAUGAAAUAGGACGUUCUAACCUAUUUUGUUGGUUUCUAGGAUCAACGUAAUGAUUAAUAGGGAUAGUCGGGGGCAUUAGUAUUCAAUUGUCAGAGGUGAAAUUCUUGGAUUUAUUGAAGACUAACUACUGCGAAAGCAUUUGCCAAGGAUGUUUUCAUUAAUCAAGAACGAAAGUUAGGGGAUCGAAGACGAUCAGAUACCGUCGUAGUCUUAACCAUAAACUAUGCCGACUAGGGAUCGGAUGAUGUUAAUUUUUUAAUGACUCAUUCGGCGCCUUACGGGAAAC
rnacentral:rRNA from 1 species